CAAUAGCGUAUAUUAAUGUUGUUGCAGUUAAAAAGCUCGUAGUUGGAUUUCUGGUGGGAGCGGCCGGUCCGCCGUAAGGUGUGUACUUGGUUGUCUCCUGUCAUCCUUGUGGGAACUGCUCUGGCAUUAAGUUGUCGGGGUUAGGGAACACAUCGUUUACUGUGAAAAAAUUAGAGUGUUUAAAGCAGGCUUAUGCCGUUGAAUACAUUAGCAUGGAAUAAUAAGAUAGGACUUUGGCGUCUAUUUUGUUGGUUUGCACACCAAGGUAAUGAUUAAUAGGGAUAGUUGGGGGUAUUCGUAUUUAAUUGUCAGAGGUGAAAUUCUUGGAUUUAUGAAAGACGAACUUCUGCGAAAGCAUUUACCAAAGAUGUUUUCAUUGA
rnacentral:rRNA from 1 species